GCCUCGUUUCAUCAGGACCAUCGUGAUUGCUUUCAUAGCUUUUUUCAGGACCCGGGAAGAAUCAAACGUACAGGCAGAGGUUAAGUUAGUGUUUAGCGAAGAGUCCACUGAACCGAUCCCCAGCAACACCGACAUUGUGGAGACUCUAAAAGAAGCAGCGGCUAAUUCAACUGCGGGCUUCAACCUCACCAUUGAUGCCACCUCUAUUACUGUCAUUAAAUCAGUGCAGAUAAUUCCGCUGACAAUCCUCACCAACGGAAACUUUGUGGCUGCUCUUUCAAAUAAAAGUUCUACUGAAUUUCAGAACAGGGCUUCGCUGAUAAAAACAGGACUUGAACCUUUCUUCCUGGCUGAUUACCCUACAUCAUUCAGCACCAUAUCCGUAACAGACUUCAGUGAUGCCGGUGUAAAAUUAAGGAGUGUGCCCAAGAUCCGAAACAGCAUGGAUGUUGUAUUCGGAGCGGACGCCGUUCUACCCAAUAGCACCCAGAUAGUGAACACUGUAGUUCGAGCAGCCAGAAACAACACGCUACCCUUCCAGAUCUUCACUUCUUCAAUUAUAAUAAAUGGAACAGAAUUUUCAUCAGGUGAAGUCAGCAGCAGGAUCAGUAUGUUGACCGCUUCAUUCCUGGUUGCGGUGUCACUUCUGGUUCCAUGGUUUAUCUGACCUUAACCACUCAUACCAAGAUAACUGAUUCAGACGGGUCUGAAUCUUCCCUUUCACGUCGGAUCAAAUUAAGGACUCAACUUAAGGAUAAAUGUAGCUACUGAUGCUACUUAAUGAGUAGCAAUGAAAGUAAAAAAUUAAAUUAUUCUAUUCUGAGCACUUUAAACUAGAUCUAAGCUAUAGUGGAUUUAUAGUUUAUCUGUAUGUACCUGUAUCUGUAUGUAAACAAUCAGUAUUGUAUAAAGCACUAUAUAAAUAAAGG
rnacentral:lncRNA from 1 species